rnacentral:rRNA from 1 species
UUAGAUGUCCGGGGCCGCACGCGCGCUACACUGAAGGAACCAGCGUGUGCUCUCCCUGUCCGGCAGGACUGGGUAACCCGCUGAACCUCCUUCGUGAUAGGGACAGGGGCUUGUAACUGUUCCCCUCGAACGAGGAAUUCCCAGUAAGCGCGAGUCAUAAGCUCGCGUUGAUUACGUCCCUGCCCUUUGUACACACCGCCCGUCGCUACUACCGAUUGAAUGAUUUAGUGAGGUCUUCGGACUGGCGCUCGGAGCGGUGCUCGCGCGCCGGGCCGACGUGCCGGAAAGAUGACCAAACUUGAUCAUUUAGAGGAAGUAAAAGUCGUAACAAGGUUUCC